UACGGCGAGUGAAGCGGCAAAAGCUCAAAUUUGAAAGCUUCGGCAUUGUAAUUUGAAAAGCCCCCACACAAAUUAUACCACGUCAAGUCCAUUGGAAAAUGGCGCCACAGAAGGUGACAGCCCUGUAGACUUCCGUAUAACUACCUCGUGGUGGCUUCAAGAGUCGAGUUGUUUGGGAUUGCAGCUCUAUCGGUGGUAAAUUCCAUCUAAAGCUAAAUACUGGCGAGAGACCGAUAGCGAACAAGUACAGUGAUGGAAAGAUGAAAAGCACUUUGAAAAGAGAGUGAAAAAGUACGUGAAAUUGUUGAAAGGGAAGGGCUUGACCGGCUGGGGAGGUCGGGGAAAAAGAGGUGAAAAAAAGUAGGGAAUGUAACUCUCGAGUAUUAUAUCCCUGCCCCAACACCCUCAUCUUUCCCCGUGGACCGCUAACAGGAUCUCCCCUAAAUCCGGCCAAGUCGCCCGUCUUGAAA
rnacentral:rRNA from 1 species